CCGGGACCCCUGACCCCGACCGGGGACGCCCGCCCUCACGCCGGGCCCCAGCGCACACACACACCUUCCCCACCCGUUCCCCUCGGCCCUGGCCCUGGGACCCCAGAUCCCACCCGGUGGGGACCCUGGGACUUCAGACCCGGCCCGGGUCCCCCUCCGGCCCUCCCCCUGGGACCCCUGCCUGGCCCUCAGCCGGAGAUCUGGACCCCACCACCCCCUUCCGCGCCAGCCUUUGGGUUCCAGGCGGGUCACCGGGCCCUGCGUGUGGCUGCGAGCACGUGAGUGGGACAGGAAGGGCCGUGCGGGUCGGAGCCGGGCGCGUUGCUCCCAGCUUCGGAGGCGGGUCAGGGCUUCCCGAGGGGCCGGCCCAGGCCCUGGGAGCUGCCUGCAGCCAGGCUGUCCGUGUGCCCCGUGCUGGACCAGCACCUGCGCGUCCGCCUCGUUCAGGCCGGAAGAUCACAUGCAGAGCCCUGGGCACUUCGCAUGGGCUUGUUGCCCCGUUUCUGGAACAUUUACAAUGUUCGGGGAAAGCUCGGCGAGUGCUGGUCUGUUGGAAAGAGGCUGCAGUAAGGUGCGUCAGAGGUCGGUGGCCGCGGCCUCCAGACGACCCUCCCCGAGUCCUGGGUCCUGAGCUUGUGUUUGGAGGCGUUGCCCCCGGUGUUCAGGGCAGCCGGUGGCCCUGGAGGAAACACGUCUCCAUGGUUAACUCCGUGUUGGAGCCUUAAGAGCAUUUUCAGUUUCCAGCGUCCAAGUCCUCAGAGCCCAGCUGUCCUUCAGGUUUGGGGUUGGGGCAGAGAAUUUCUGAAAGGGCCGUCCCGGUGUGUGCCCCUCGGACUCCGGCAUCGAACCCCCACGGAGCUCGGAGUGGAGGGCGCGGUUGUCCCCGCCUCCGUCCCCGUCCGAGGGUGCGGCACCCGCUUGCAGCCCGUCUGAGCCGGGCGCUGGGCGUUUUCGGGUUCUGCCCUGUGGCACGUGUCCGUGAAGCGAGCGCGUAGGCCGUGGUGGCUGAGAGAAGGCUCUGGAGAGGCCUGUGGGGCUCCCGUGAGGGCCGUUCCGGCCAGAGGUGCGCACCUUUGCUCCCGGCCACGCGGCCACCUGCCCAUCAGGCUGCGACGUCUCACGAGUUUUUGCAGAUGGCUCCCGACCCCUCCGCGGCCUUCCCCGUGCCCUCAGCGCUCCUCGUCUUGCGGUUGCACGUUGGAGGCUUUCUAGGAGCGGACAGGAGAGCGGGUCCUUUAAGACUUGGUGACCGGUCGGUGGGAACAGGUCAGUGACGAUUCAGGCACAGCGGCACUUGGCCCUUUUCCCCGGGGGUCCCCACACCUCUGACGCCGGCUUUGUCUGUUUGCGCGGGGCCUGUGUGGAUGCCAGCCGGCCUCCCGGUGGACUCGGAGACAGUUUGCGGCCACGGCCGCGUCUUGGGCCGGCCCUCGGCGUCUUCACGCAUCUUGGCGGCAGCCGGUACGUGCCCCGGAACUUCGCCGGAGGACGGCGGCUCUGAACCUGGGUUUGGCCAGCUGUCCGAGGAGGGGCGCAGCGGCCGUGCGGACGUCCGUGGUUCUUGUGGGGGUUUCGUCGGACGAGAGAGUACGGGAACGGGCCUCGAACCUCGGGAGGUGUUUUAUGGACGCGGUUCAAGGAAGGUUUUGCUAAGGGAGCAGGUCCUGAAGCCGCCCACGGGAGUCCUGUCAUCGUUUCUGUGUUUCGAUCAAGUAGAAGUCGUCAGCGGGGCCUUUGUCCGGAGCCUCCCGUCCCCCCCACCGUGUGUGCGGGAGACAGACUAAUAAUUCAGGGUAAAGGGGUGUCCGUUAGGGGGACUUCUCCAAAGGAGACGUGCAUGGAAUGUAGGGUCAGCACGGCGAGGCGGCUGAGGGGGCCGAGGACAGUAACAGACCAAGUGCUGCCCGCCGGAGACGGGUCGUGGUAGGGGCUUGGGUAAUCGGAAAACCCCGCACGGCUUCCCUUGCCCUGCACACCGGUCGGGACUGGCUGGGAGUGUGGCCCUGCCUUUGCUCACGACUCACGUGUGGUCCCACUGGAUCGUCAUCAUUGACCGCUGUCAUUGGGGUCAGCCCUUGGGGGGCUUCUGGUCUCAGAAUACACUGAUUUUUUUCCUCGA